GUUUCAGCUGGAACACACCGCCAGGUCCCACCGGGUUGCGUCCCCGGCACCCCCCCGCACCCUACUCGGAUGGUCGCUACCCCACGCCCGUUUCCAGGAGACGGCGCUGGACGCCGGAAGCAGAGCGGAGCCCCAUUGGGCUGAGGGGCGGCUACGUCAGGGCGAGACCACCGGGUAGCGGGCGGGGGGUUCCCGGAUGUUGGCGUGGGGGUGCCGGAGGCUGGCGGGUCGGUCGGGGAAGGUCCGGCUGCUGCCGCAGCCCGUGUUGGUGGGGCUGCUCUAUGCAACCUUCACAGUCAAAACGGCAGGUAGCGUCCUCAGCCCUGCCACGGCCUUCUGCAGGAGCCGAAUUGAGGGACGCUUUUCUUGUGGCAAAAUUUCGCCCUUGAAACAAGCGUUUUCUGUGUUUAAGAGUAAUGUGGAGUUUUCACUUGUUUUUUCAUCCUAUGGGCUUCUGGUCUUCUUUUUCAUUCUUUUCUUGUCUGGUUUUGGUUUUGUAAGGCCCUUGAGAAAAUCUCUUUUCUUUUGGGCAACAUCAGGAACUGUGGUGAAAGGACAAGGGCCUUCAAACUGAAAGAAAUUUAGAUUGGAUUAGAUAUUAGGGGAAAAAAAUCUUUGCUGUGAGGGUGGUGAGGCACCGUCAGAGGUUGUCCAAAGAAGCUGGACAUGUCCCAUCCCUGGAGUUGUUCAAGGCCGGGUUGGAUGGGCUUUGAGCAGCCUGGUAUAGUGAAAGGUUGGGCACAGCAAGGGGUUGGAAUUAGAUGGUCUUUGAGGUCCCUUCCAAGUCAAACCAUCUGUGAUUCUAACAAAACAUUUAAAAACAUUUGCUCUAGAGCAAGCUGUAAAGAAUUCUAUUUUUUUCCUCAUUGUAUCACCUUUAUCUUAACCCCCUAAUAGGCUUGAAUGCAUUGAUCCAUUUCAACGAAUGUUCAUAAAAGAAGUAGUACACUCAAAGGAAGAAUUCAAUGUUUCUUCUAGGCAGCAUGACAACAGAUGGUCGGGAUUUUUACUCCCACUCUUGAGAAGACUUCAGUACGACUUUAAACCCCUGUAAUACUGAAAUGGUGGGGGGGGGGGAACCCAAACCCAAACCCUUAUUUAUUGUUGACAAAAAACUGAACAUGAGCCAGCAGUGUGGGCUGGCAGCCCACAAAGCCAGACGUAUCCUGGACUGCAUCUAAAGGAGUGUGGCCAGCAGGGUGAGGGAGGCAAUUCCAUCCCUGUACUCUGCUUUGGUAAGACCCUACCUGGAGUGCUGCAUCCAGCUCUGGUGCCUCCAAAAUAAGAAGGACAUGGAAGUGUUGGAGCAAGUCCAGGGAAGGCCAUGAAGUGAUAAGGGAACUGGAACACCUCCCCUAUGAAGACAGGCUGAGAAAAUUUGUGCUCUGUCCCAUUUUACACUGUAAGUUUUCAGUAACUGCAGAGGUGACUUGUAAUUAUCAGUGAAGCUACAGCUUUGAAGCUGCCUGAGUAAGAUAAUUUUUCCAUUCUUUUUUUAAUGUAAAUGAGUAGUUGACUAGAUAUAAAUAAACCAAAUACGUAACUAGACAUCACUGUGUAUUAAAAAGCACAAGAAAAGUAUGCUUUGAAGAGGGAUUUAUUUAGAUUUCAGAAAAACCUGUAUUUUAUCUGUGGUUGUGAUAAGAAUGACUGAUAGAAAGAAGAAAGAAUAGAGCAUUAGCUCAGUUGCACACAAGUCCUGGAAGCAGUUCAAUGCCACAUCUUAGAAUAAGUCACAAUUUCAUUGUCCCUGUCCAAGAAGAUAAAACUAAGCCACAGUAACUAUCAAGUUACUGUCUUCCAGAUUUCUCAUACUUUGUCCUGUAUAUGCUUUCUGUUAAGUUAGUCCAGAUUAAGGGUUGUUUUUAUGCAAAGGGGUUAAAUACCCCAUUUUGGGAGAGUGAGAUUAUAUGAACUUUAACAUAAAUGAAGUCUGUUGAAAUCUUCAUAUACUAGUGGCAAUAGAGUGAGAGAAACACACUAAAAAAAAAAUUCAGUAACAAUUGAACCAGAGGUUUAUAGCUUUUGAAAUUACGUGUCUCCAUGAUAAUUUUUCAGUAUAAUUAAAGGCACACAUAGAGAGACAUGUUGACUUAUACCACCUUUUUUUCCAAUCCCUCCUUAUAACGAGCUAUGGGCACUUUUUUAUUGUUGAUAUACAUUUCAUUACAUGUCUGUAUGUUUCUUAGCUUCUGUGUGCACAGUUUCAAUAUACUCCAGAUGGGGAAUUUUCCCUUUGAUUUGGUGUAAGAACGGAGGAUUCUCUCUUCAAACAUAUUGCUUCAGGUAUGAGACUUAUCUUGCAGAAAUAAAGUAUUACAAAUACAUAUCAGGGUUGUAAUUAUAAGACUCUUAUCUUUGGCCUCUUACUUACUGUUUCAGUCUAUUAUUCCUUUAUCCAGUUACUGAACAUGACUUCAAGCAUUGUACUCAACUGCAAUGAAAUUUUCUGUGGGAAUAUUUUCAACAUUCAAGAACGGAAUGCAAACUAUUCUCUGUUCUGUUUGCACCAUUUCAAUACUCCUAGCAAUCUGUGCAGCAAACUCAGCCUUGCUAUUUGCCUGGUUAAUAGACGGGACAGUCAGAUGUAAUCAAAUUCUUGUUCUCAAAUAAAUAUAUGAUCUAAUUUAAGACAAACUGAGAUCUCGUGAUUGCAAGCACAUAGUUCAGGCAUGCUUAAACACUUCACUGCUCUACCCUCAAUGGGUACUGCAUAAGCCUCUGACAUUUUGCCUGGUUCUCAAAAGUCUGACCAGUAGCCUAUAAUUUUAAGGUGUGUUUCCAUGUUUUGUAAAAUGUGUUCUUCAGUCUGCUCUAAUGCCUGUUGAAAACGCUGCACAGUUCUGUUUUAUUUUGCCAUAUGUACUAACUUCUCUUUUUUGUCCUUUUUAAAUUUUUUUUCCAGAUAUCAUGAUUACUCAUGCUCUAUCCCAUCUUGUUAGUACAUGGUGUUUAUUUCUAUUCCAGACUGACCCCAUUCUCAAGAGAAUUUCUAUUCUCGGCAUCUAGGAUUAUUUUUCAACAUCCUCUGGAAACUGGCACAUAUUUUCAUCGUUUGAGUGCAACUUUGUUCUUCUUAAUUUUUGUCUUUCUGUGGUAACAUUAACAUGUGAUUAUCGUAUUAUCAUUUUGAUAUUAUGAUGUUAUGAUUUUGUCACCUUGGUUUUCUGGUAUGACUCUGUUGUACUUAUUGGUCCAUGUCAAAUUCAUUAAAUAAAUUCAAAUGUUA